GACGAACGCUGGCGGCGUGCUUAACACAUGCAAGUCGAACGGAAAGGCCCUGCUUUUGUUGGGUGCUCGAGUGGCGAACGGGUGAGUAACACGUGAGUAACCUGCCCUUGACUUUGGGAUAACUUCAGGAAACUGGGGCUAAUACCGGAUAGGAGCUCCUGCUGCAUGGUGGGGGUUGGAAAGUUUCGGCGGUUGGGGAUGGACUCGCGGCUUAUCAGCUUGUUGGUGGGGUAGUGGCUUACCAAGGCUUUGACGGGUAGCCGGCCUGGGAGGGUGACCGGCCACAUUGGGACUGAGAUACGGCGCAGACUCGUACGGGAGGCAGCAGUGGGGAAUAUUGCACAAUGGGCGGAAGCCUGAUGCAGCAACGCCGCGUGCGGGAUGACGGCCUGCGGGUUGUAAACCGCUUUCGCCUGUGACGAAGCGUGAGUGACGGUAAUGGGUAAAGAAGCACCGGCUAACUACGUG
rnacentral:rRNA from 1 species